AAUCGGUACACUUCCGAUGAUAUCUUGACUGGACUUGGAAGUAUUGAUGAAAACGAUACAGCUCCAGUUUUACCACUGAAGAAAUACGCGUGUCAGCUUGCAAACGUAAAGGACAGAGAAACGCAUUGCAACGCAGUUGUUCUUCAGUCUUUCACGAGUAGUGACAGUCUCAUCAGCGCCCAGUAUCCACUUCCUGACUACACAGAAGAUUUCCUACGACUGUUGAAAGACUUCAGUGUUUACAUUGUGAUAUUUACGUGCCCUCUUAAAGACGUA